GACGAACGCUGGCGGCGUGCUUAACACAUGCAAGUCGAACGGAAAGGCCCUGCUUUUGUGGGGUGCUCGAGUGGCGAACGGGUGAGUAACACGUGAGUAACCUGCCCUUGACUUUGGGAUAACUUCAGGAAACUGGGGCUAAUACCGGAUAGGAGCUCCUGCUGCAUGGUGGGGGUUGGAAAGUUUCGGCGGUUGGGGAUGGACUCGCGGCUUAUCAGCUUGUUGGUGGGGUAGUGGCUUACCAAGGGUUUGACGGGUAGCCGGCCUGGGAGGGUGACCGGCCACAUUGGGACUGCGAUACGGCCCAGACUCCUACGGGAGGCAGCAGUGGGGAAUAUUGCACAGUGGGCGGAAGCCUGAUGCAGCAACGCCGCGUGCGGGAUGACGGCCUUCGGGUUGUAAACCGCUUUCGCCUGUGACGAAGCGUGAGUGACGGUAAUGGGUAAAGAAGCACCGGCUAACUACGUG
rnacentral:rRNA from 1 species